ensembl:snRNA U6 U6 spliceosomal RNA
GUGCUUGCUUGGCAGCAUGUAUACUAAAAUUAGAAUGAUACAGAGAAGAUUAGUAUGGCCCCUGCAUAAGGAUGACCAUAUUAAUUUGUGAAAGUAAUGCAUACUUCU